CGUGACAUGACCCCCGACGGUUCCUUUCGGGCUUCGGCCCGCGAGGAGGCAAGAGGGAACACGGUUCGGAGGCGACUGCCUUUCACGCCGUGGCUGCCCCCGCAACUGUAGGCGGUCCGUCCGCGCAUCGGCAGGGGUCCGGGCCCUGCGCCACUGAAGCCGUUUGCCGGCAUCGGGAAGGUCGUGUGCGGGCAUCCAUGGAGCGCGAGCCAGGAGACCUGCCGUCGGUUCAGUCGUCAU
rnacentral:ncRNA from 2 species